rnacentral:rRNA from 1 species
UACAGGGGGUGCAAACGUUGCUCGGAAUCAUUGGGCGUAAAGCGCACGUAGGCGGUCUGUUAUGUCGGAUGUGAAAGCCCUCGGCUCAACUGAGGAAGUGCAUCCGAAACUGGCAGGCUAGAGUACUAAAGAGGGUCGCGGAAUUCCCGGUGUAGAGGUGAAAUUCGUAGAUAUUCGCAAGAACACCAGUGGCGAAGGCGGCUCACUGGCCCGAUACUGACGCUGAGGCACGAAAGCGUGGGGAGCAAACAGG